CCGCGCGCUCCCGCUCUCUCGUUGCAGUUCAUUUUUUUCAUUCAUUCUUUUUCCAAGUAAAGGUAAGAAUGCGCUUUGGAAUCAGAGAUGAGAGAGAGACAUCAUAUUCCGGGAAUACAGUUAUAAACUUUUAAGAAUGGAUAUAUUCUGAGAAUAAAGACUAUAAAUGAGCAAUCCAGUAAAGAGGAACGCUGAUCUAGAACUCCAGGAACUUGGGUUCAGUUCUGCUUUCCUCUUCAAGACGUCUUUGCAAUCUCCAGCCAUCCAUUACAGACUCUUGAACACGUCUUUAAAUAACUUCACUCGUCUUCUGGACACCUAUUAAUAAAGAGUCAUCCUAACAAGCAGUUCCACGCAGGCUGGUGACGUGACAUCUUCUCUUCACUUGAUGUCUCAUUAGCCAUGAAUGCUCCAUUCCAGUACACCAACGGCAUGACUUACAAAAGAAAAAUAAUGAAGUAGCUCACUUACCUCCAUCAUUUCUGGAUUCCCAAAAUGGCGUUCUGACCAAGACAUCACUUCCACUUCUGACUCCCAAAGAUGACGUCACAUUCCAGUCCCCCUCUUGAUGAUAUCACUUCCGGUCCAUCCUGAAAAUGUCACUUCCAGCCCCAUCCUGACGAUGUCACAUCCGUCUUUUGAUGAUGAUGUCACUUCCAGCCAUACUUCCUUCCAGUCGCCAUUUUCUAUAUAUACCACAACCUUACUGUUGUAUUUUGUCACAUGCUUCUUGUUUUUGAUCCAGUUUUGCAUCAUUUUUUCACUAGUCCUCUGGACAUUAUAGGGGGCAAUUCCGCAACUCUUCUCAAUUUUGUUGAGUUUAUCCUUUUUGUACCAC